UAUUCAAUGAACGUGUGCAGCUUCGAACGUGUGCACACCGAGCGAAGGCUCUGUCCACUGAUUUGCAUCCUUCGCGCAUCUACGAAAACUUGAAAAAAGUCUUAUUUGAAAAGAAUCGGGGUGCCUGAUCGAUAUCUCGACCGCUGUCUCGCAGCGCCAUCGUGCGUUUCGAUUCGCGCGCGAUAGUGGAUAACGUAGAGAUUUGCCAGCUGCGCUCUGCAGCGUCGCGUUACCGACUGUGCUCGUUCUCGGGCGUGCCUCCAGAUGGCGCCACCCGCUCGAACUCAGUUGUCCCGCUGACGCGCUCGUAGUUAAAACCGUUUGCUCGUUCCUUCGUAUCUUUUUUUUCUCAAAUUUCACGAAUUUACGUCGGGCGUGCAGUGAAAUGUAUAAUUAACGACUUGCUUUCGAUUCGUUCUUACUUUGAAACGUGAAUUGGCGCCUUGCGAAGACACGCGGCACGGGAAACGAACUAUUUUUGAAUCCCACGAAAUUUGAAUUCCACAAUAUGGCGUGUGUGCGGUUCACUAUUCGCAGAAUGCGCGCAGAAAAUCCAACAAGAUGAACGUGUCAGCCUGUCCCACGAUGAAUUCAUCGACCCAAAUAUGUUGACGUUUCAAGAUUAUUCAAGAUCAUUCGCUGCCGA